rnacentral:rRNA from 1 species
UACGUAGGGUGCAAGCGUUGUCCGGAAUUAUUGGGCGUAAAGAGCUCGUAGGCGGUCUGUCGCGUCGGCUGUGAAAACCCGGGGCUCAACCCCGGGCCUGCAGUCGAUACGGGCAGACUAGAGUGCGGUAGGGGAGACUGGAAUUCCUGGUGUAGCGGUGAAAUGCGCAGAUAUCAGGAGGAACACCGGUGGCGAAGGCGGCGAUCUGGGUAGAUACUGACGCUGAGGUGCGAAAGCGUGGGGAGCAAACAGG